AGGACGAACGCUGGCGGCGUGCUUAACACAUGCAAGUCGAACGGAGAUACAUUGGAGGAGAGCUUCGGCAGGAAUCCGGCGUAUCUUAGUGGCGGACGGGUGAGUAACGCGUGAGCAACCUGUCCCAGGCAGGGGGAUAACACUUGGAAACAGGUGCUAAUACCGCAUAAGACCACGGUGUCACAUGGCACUGAGGUAAAAGGAGCAAUCCGGUUUGGGGUGGGCUCGCGUCCGAUUAGAUAGUUGGUGAGGUAACGGCCCACCAAGUCGACGAUCGGUAGCCGACCUGAGAGGGUGAUCGGCCACAUUGGAACUGAGAGACGGUCCAAACUCCUACGGGAGGCAGCAGUGGGGAAUAUUGGGCAAUGGGCGAAAGCCUGACCCAGCAACGCCGCGUGAGUGAAGAAGGCUUUCGGGUUGUAAAGCUCUGUUAUAGGGGACGAAGGAAGUGACGGUACCCUAUAAGGAAGCCCCGGCUAACUACGUGCCAGCAGCUGC
rnacentral:rRNA from 1 species